GAUAACUGUUGCUGGGGAUAUAGCAACCGAAUUAAUCAAACAAACAGAUGUAGAUUACCUACAAGAUAGAGCAAUGGAUGCAAUGAAGGUUGGAAAAGCAUCCCACAAAGUGAUAGUCACUGCUGUAGAAGUUGCUGCCACAAAAGAUAAAAAAGAAGAAGAAAUCCCACCCAACAUGGAGUCCUCGUAAGAUGUUCCUCUCUCAUUUCAUUGAAUACCCCAGGUAUUGGUUCCCUGUCUAAGAAGCAAAGUGAACAGACUUAUUUAUAUCUUAGAAGACUCAAGUAUAAGAAUUUUAUUGAUUAUGAAGAUAAUAUUUUAUAAUCAUGGCCCUCCUCGGCAUCCUUUUUUUUUUCCUCUGGAACCAUAUUUUGAAGAAAAAUCAUCUAUUGCUCAGCUACAGAAGCCUGGAGUAUUUAAGAUACUGUCCAAUCCAUCAACACAUUUCCAGUUUCCCCAUCACUUCCACUCUAAGAACACAUAAUUAUCAAGAGGUUACAAUCUGCAAAAGUCUUUGUAAAACCGGGUGGAGAACACUUCACGGAAUGUUAGAAGGAUAUGUAUCUUCAACCUCUGCUAAAUAUGUCCCUUCAAGAGAUACAUGCACUUCAAAACCAUCUGGGCAUUAAAACACUUUCUAAACAA